CGCACCUUGCGCUCCUUGGUAUUCCGAGGAGCAUGCCUGUUUGAGUGUCAUGGUAUUCUCAACUCCACAAAGCUUUUGCAAUGUAGAGUUGGAUUUGGAGGCUUGUGUCAGCUCGAAAGAGUUGACUCCUCUGAAAUGCAUUAGUGUGAACCUUUAUGGAUCGCCUUCAGUGUGAUAAUGUCUACGCUGUGGUGUUGAAGUAUUUGUAGUGUUCAUGCUUCUAACUGUCUCUUUGAGACAUUUACUUGACAAUCUGACCUCAAAUCAGGUAGGACUACCCGCUGAACUUAA
rnacentral:misc_RNA from 1 species